rnacentral:rRNA from 1 species
UACGGAAGGGGCAAGCGUUGUUCGGAAUCAUUGGGCGUAAAGGGCGCGUAGGCGGCUUUGCAAGUGACGGGUGAAAGCCCUCGGCUUAACCGAGGAACUGCCUGUCAGACUGUAAGGCUUGAGACCGGGAGAGGUGAGUGGAAUUCCCAGUGUAGCGGUGAAAUGCGUAGAUAUUGGGAGGAACACCAGUGGCGAAGGCGGCUCACUGGACCGGAACUGACGCUGAGGCGCGAAAGCGUGGGGAGCAAACAGG